UGGCACCUGAAUACGCAUGUAUGC
rnacentral:siRNA from 1 species